rnacentral:rRNA from 1 species
UACGAAGGGGGCUAGCGUUGUUCGGAAUUACUGGGCGUAAAGCGCGCAUAGGCGGCGCAGCAAGUCAGGGGUGAAAUCCCGGAGCUCAACUCCGGAACUGCCUUUGAAACUGCUGUGCUGGAAUCUCAGAGGGGAUAGCGGAAUUCCAAAUGUAGGGGUGAAAUCCGUAGAUAUUUGGAGGAACACCGGUGGCGAAGGCGGCUAUCUGGAUGAGUAUUGACGCUGAGGCGCGAAAGCGUGGGGAUCAAACAGG